rnacentral:rRNA from 1 species
UACGUAGGGUGCAAGCGUUGUCCGGAAUUAUUGGGCGUAAAGAGCUCGUAGGCGGUUUGUCGCGUCUGGUGUGAAAAUCCAGGGCUUAACCCUGGACCUGCAUCGGGUACGGGCAGACUAGAGUGCGGUAGGGGAGAUCGGAAUUCCUGGUGUAGCGGUGAAAUGCGCAGAUAUCAGGAGGAACACCGAUGGCGAAGGCAGCUCGCUGGGACGGUACUGACGCUGAGGCGCGAAAGCGUGGGGAGCAAACAGG